GAUUCCGUGGUGUAGUUGGUUAUCACGUGAGUCUAACACACUCAAGGUCCCCGGUUCAAUCCCGGGUGGAAUCA